UACGGAGGGUGCAAGCGUUAUCCGGAUUCACUGGGUUUAAAGGGUGUGUAGGCGGGCUGUUAAGUCAGUGGUGAAAUCCCCGGGCUCAACCUGGGAACUGCCGUUGAUACUAUCAGUCUUGAAUUCUGUUGAGGUGGGCGGAAUACAUCAUGUAGCGGUGAAAUGCUUAGAUAUGAUGUAGAACACCGAUUGCGAAGGCAGCUCACUAAGCAGCGAUUGACGCUGAGGCACGAAAGCGUGGGGAUCAAACAGG
rnacentral:rRNA from 1 species